GGCCCCUUAGUUCAACGGAUAGAAUGUGAGUUUCCGGAACUCAAGAUACAGGUUCGAUUCCUGUAGGGGCUA
rnacentral:tRNA from 1 species